rnacentral:rRNA from 1 species
AUGCACGCUGGCGGCGUGCCUAAUCCAUGCAAGUCGAGCGAACAGACGAGGAGCUUGCUCCUCUGACGUUAGCGGCGGACGGGUGAGUAACACGUGGAUAACCUACCUAUAAGACUGGGAUAACUUCGGGAAACCGGAGCUAAUACCGGAUAAUAUAUUGAACCGCAUGGUUCAAUAGUGAAAGACGGUUUUGCUGUCACUUAUAGAUGGAUCCACGCCGCAUUAGCUAGUUGGUAAGGUAACGGCUUACCAAGGCGACGAUGCGUAGCCGACCUGAGAGGGUGAUCGGCCACACUGGAACUGAGACACGGUCCAGACUCCUACGGGAGGCAGCAGUAGGGAAUCUUCCGCAAUGGGCGAAAGCCUGACGGAGCAACGCCGCGUGAGUGAUGAAGGUCUUCGGAUCGUAAAACUCUGUUAUUAGGGAAGAACAAAUGUGUAAGUAACUAUGCACGUCUUGACGGUACCUAAUCAGAAAGCCACGGCUAACUACGUG